CCUACGGGAGGCAGCAGUAGGGAAUCUUUCACAAUGGGCGAAAGCCUGAUGGAGCAACGCCGCGUGCAGGACGAAGGCCUUCGGGUUGUAAACUGCUUUUAUAAGCGAGAAAUAUGAUGGUAACUUAUGAAUAAGGAUCGGCUAACAACGUGCCAGCAGCCGCCGUCAUACGUACGAUCCGGGCAUUAUUCGGAGUGAUUAGGUGUAUAGAGUUGCGUAGGUGGCAUAAUAAGUAGCUAGUGGAAUUUGGUGGCUCAACCAUUCAGACUGUUGGCCAAACUGUUAAGCUCGAGACCGUUAGAGGUAAGUGGAAUGUGUGGUGUAGGAGUGAAAUGCGUAGAUAUUAGAAAGAACACCGAUAGCGUAGGCAGGUUGCUGGGACGGUUCUGACACUAAGGCACGAAAGCGUAGGGAGCGAACGGGAUUAGAUACCCUUGUAGUC
rnacentral:rRNA from 1 species